rnacentral:rRNA from 1 species
UACGUAGGGGGCAAGCGUUGUCCGGAUUUAUUGGGCGUAAAGAGCGUGUAGGCGGCUUUACAGGUCCGCUGUGAAAACUCGAGGCUCAACCUCGAGCUGUCGGUGGAAACCAUCAGACUAGAGUCCGGAAGAGGAGAGUGGAAUUCCUGGUGUAGCGGUGAAAUGCGCAGAUAUCAGGAAGAACACCCGUGGCUAAGGCGGCUCUCUAGUACGGUACUGACGCUGAGACGCGAAAGCGUGGGGAGCGAACAGG